rnacentral:rRNA from 1 species
UACAAAGGAAUUCUUUAGAUGAAGCUACCUGGAAAGGUAAGCCGUAGAAGGUAACAGCCCUGUAAUCGAAAAAGAAUUCUCUCCGGAGUGUAUCCUGAGUACGGCGGAACACGUGAAAUUCCGUCGGAAUCCGGGAGGACCAUCUCCCAAGGCUAAAUACUACCUAGUGACCGAUAGUGAACCAGUACCGUGAGGGAAAGGUGAAAAGCACCCCGGGAGGGGAGUGAAAGAGAACCUGAAACCGUGUGCCUACAAGUAGUCGGAGCCCGUUAAUGGGUGACGGCGUACCUUUUGUAGAAUGGACCGGCGAGUUACGAUUGUAUGCGAGGUUAAGUGGAAGACACGGAGCCGUAGCGAAAGCGAGUCUGAAUAGGGCGAAUUAGUAUGCGGUCGUAGACCCGAAACCGUGUGAUCUACCCAUGUCCAGGGUGAAGGUCAGGUAACACUGACUGGAGGCCCGAACCCACGUAUGUUGAAAAAUGCG